GUCAGAGUGCUGUAGCGGUCGUAUGAGAGGAUCACCAGUGAGAUCAGCGAAACAAUACCUGGGGAACAAAGACAGAGACGUGGAGGUGUGAGAUAGCCUUCAACUUCACAAAUUUUCCCCUGAGAAUUUACUCACAAAGAAGCUGGUGCUGGUACGUCACUGCUCCUCCAGAUAUGUGGCUAACAAUAACAAACUAGAGACUUUAGCAGCAACCAAAAAAAAUUCUUAUGACAGGUGAUUAAAUGAAGAGCUCCACUCAACCGUCAGCUGACUGACUCCUUCAUUUCUAGCACUCCGAGGUGCAGCAAAGCCUUCGCUGCUGCUUGAGUUAAUGAUUGCUCACUGAGCAAUAAAUUAAACCUGGUUCAUCAUUUCCA